UACGUAGGGUGCAAGCGUUGUCCGGAAUUAUUGGGCGUAAAGAGCUCGUAGGCGGUCUGUCACGUCGGCUGUGAAAACCCGGGGCUCAACUCCGGGCCUGCAGUCGAUACGGGCAGACUAGAGUUCGGCAGGGGAGACUGGAAUUCCUGGUGUAGCGGUGAAAUGCGCAGAUAUCAGGAGGAACACCAAUGGCGAAGGCAGCUCGCUGGAACGGUACUGACGCUGAGGCGCGAAAGCGUGGGGAGCGAACAGG
rnacentral:rRNA from 1 species